UGUCUGUGCUGGCUCCUAAUUUCAAUGCUUGUAGAUUUCUGUCCUUCUGUGCCAUUAUUGGAGUGGGUAGGAAUUUUCUAAGUCAAACUUUGUGUGUGUGUGUGUGUGUGUGUGUGUGUGUGUGUGUGUGUGUGUGUGUGAACAUUUCCCAUCACACAGCCAAAGGAAAGAAAGAAGACAUAGAGCAGAGAGGAAAGUAAGGCUUGCUCAGAACACCGUUGACCAUAUUUGUGAUGACAGUUUGUCAAGAUUCACCGAUAUUUGCAAACAACUUGUGUAGCAUAUGCUAUCUCUAACACCCAUGGAAACUAUUCCUAUCCUAUCCAACUUGUCAAAAUAGCAAUAAUCAACUUAAAGUACUUCAGUGCUAAAUGACUCAUUGAAUUCACUCAUGGAAACAUUUGAUAGUUUUCUGAAGCUCCUUCGCCUUUAUGUGUGUGAAGAAACAUCAAAAUUAAUAAGAAAAUCAGCAGCCGUGGUUUUCCCCUGUUGGUAGGAAGCUGUCCCUGGUCGCACGAACUUGUUAGCAGAGAUUUCUCCAGGACAGCCUGAGACUACCACAGAAGACAAAGCCCUAUCAGAGGAGGGCACUGAAAUUAUACUUGAGCUGGACCUCAGCAAACAGCACGCUGGGUGUAUGAAGCUAAACACUGCAGGCAACAUAAGUGUAUUAUUAGAAAAAGCAGGGAAUCCAAAGAGAACCUUCCUUCCAUGGGAGUGGCAACAGGAAGCUGGCUCUCAGUAUUAAGACCACAACACUAAGUAAGUCAACUGAAACUCUGAGGAAGGCUGUUUCUCCACUAGGCAUAACAUUUAUAUAGUUUUCAUGAACGUCUAGAUGCGGUUGUUGCUCACUGUCCAACACACAGAUGCUCUUGUCUCCACUGCAGUUUCCAAGUGUUGUCUUAAGAAGUUGCAAGUGCUGAUCACAUAAAUAGGCUUUAUCAUAACUAUAAUUAACUGAGGCUUGAUGAAGGCAGAUCUAAACACACUUUUCUUUUGGUCUGGACUUGGAGUGUUUGGGUCUUUCAAGUUCCCACAGCCUUGCCACUCAGGCCCAGUAUGUGGAUGGAUCCCUUUGACUGGAAGUCCAUGUGUCUUCCAGGGUUGCUCUCCAUUUCUGUCCUCUCAGGGACACCAUGAGCUGCUGCUGGGCUCUUUGGUCUUAUAACGCAGUUUUAAAUGUCUCCCUGUGAACUUGUUUUCUUAAACAUUUACCCUGUUCUCAGGAAGCAAAGAUAAGAACUAUGAUUUUUUUUCCUCACCCAGUUCAGGAAACAGGGGAUACCUGUUUUGUCAUCUUUUGUCACCUUGUCUCAAGAUAGUUUUUAGAAAGUAAGACAGGCUACAUACAGGUCCAGAGCUCAACUGUGGAAGACUUAGGCAGCACACGCCAGCUCCCACAGCACAACACACAUUCUCGUGGAGAAAACUAAACUAAAGAGGACCAAAUACCUACACCCCCGA